ACUUUGUCCCUUCCAAAAUAGCAAUGUUUCUAUUGUUAGAUCAUCCAUCAGAUGAUUAGACUCUCUGUCACUCCCCGUGCCCCGCCUAUUUGGUCUGGUUCGGGCACGUGAACAGACCGCCGGAUGGACAGAGUCUCCCCUGUACGUCCAAGGUGUCGCAAUCAAUACAAUACGAGAGGUUCAAACCAGGAACAGUGUUCAUUCAUAGAUUGUAUAAGGAAGUAUCAAAAACAUAAACUACUAAGUUAUUACAACAUUCAACUUAGAUGCAUUUUACAACAUAAUUUUUUCUUUUACAAUCAACUUCCAAAUAUAAUCCCAAUUAUUACAAUUUGGUACAACUUAAAAAAAGUUUGUUCUGUGUCUUUAAACCUCCCAAGCUAGACCACCAACUCGGGUACUGCUACCUCAGUCUCUGGGUAGGGCGCUAUCUACUGAGCUACGCCCUUGCCUUGCGCUGCCGCGCCGCUCACGUGUGUACCUGUAACACCCCAAAACAACGUGGGGUGAGAACCAACUCCAUGGUUCCCAGUGGGUACGGCCACCCAAGGGAAAAGCUCGACCAAUAGGUCUAAUGAGGCCCUGCAACAUGUUAGUGCAAUAAUAUAUAUCACCAUAUUUAUACGAUAUUGAACUAAAUGUCAUGCCUCCCGAAAUGCAACAAGAAAUGUUUGCAACUAUACAAGUAGAUUAAUUAAUUCUACUUCAUAUUCUUAAUCAUUCUUUACUUGUAACCUUUCUUUACUUUAUCAGCUAUUCUUAUUCAUUAGCCUUUCUUUACUUUAAUUCCUUGCCGCACUAU
rnacentral:lncRNA from 1 species